UCUCUAUUUUUCUCCACGAUCUCUGAGUUUUAACAAAGCGUCACUAAUAUAAUUCUCAGUUAAUCAAAAAUUCACAUUCAUACUUUCCUCUAAUUGCUUCGUCCUCCGUUCAAAACUCAGAUAUUCCAAAAUUUAGAUCAAUGGAAAAGGGAGAAAGCCAAGGAGAUGAGAUUGAGUCAAAAGAAAACGAAGGAUAAGAAACUGUUGACUUGACACAUUGCAUCUCCACCACUAGCUUGAGGGAUAUUAUACUACAUCAUCGAUAAAAAUAUCUAUGUUUUUCAUCAAUGAACUUGAAAAACUUUCAGCUAAAAGGAUAAUUCAUCAUCAGAAGAUGGAUGGGAGGCCCAUGAAACAAAAAAAAAACAUUUCUCCAAUCAACGAUUCUUGCACAUUCC